GCAAGUCGAACGGUAACAGGAAGCAGCUUGCUGCUUUGCUGACGAGUGGCGGACGGGUGAGUAAUGUCUGGGAAACUGCCUGAUGGAGGGGGAUAACUACUGGAAACGGUAGCUAAUACCGCAUAACGUCGCAAGACCAAAGAGGGGGACCUUCGGGCCUCUUGCCAUCGGAUGUGCCCAGAUGGGAUUAGCUAGUAGGUGGGGUAACGGCUCACCUAGGCGACGAUCCCUAGCUGGUCUGAGAGGAUGACCAGCCACACUGGAACUGAGACACGGUCCAGACUCCUACGGGAGGCAGCAGUGGGGAAUAUUGCACAAUGGGCGCAAGCCUGAUGCAGCCAUGCCGCGUGUAUGAAGAAGGCCUUCGGGUUGUAAAGUACUUUCAGGGGGGAGGAAGGUGUUGAGGUUAAUAACCUCAGCAAUUGACGUUACCCGCAGAAGAAGCACCGGCUAACUCCGUGCCAGCAGCCGCGGUAAUACGGAGGGUGCAAGCGUUAAUCGGAAUUACUGGGCGUAAAGCGCACGCAGGCGGUCUGUCAAGUCGGAUGUGAAAUCCCCGGGCUCAACCUGGGAACUGCAUUCGAAACUGGCAGGCUAGAGUCUUGUAGAGGGGGGUAGAAUUCCAGGUG
rnacentral:rRNA from 1 species